CGGACGCCGGGUAGUCCAUCAACCACACCAUUGCCGCGUGGUUCGGUUACUGCCCAUGGACCAGACUCUCCUGCUGGUCCGUCUGACCCUGACUCUGUGCCGGGUCUGAGGAUGCCCUCCGUCGUCGUUCCUUAAAAGCCGUUACCCGCUCUCGGACUGGCUCGUUGCGGCGCACGUCCUACUGCCGGAAGCCCAACAUUUGACGAAAAUCUACCCUGCUAUUACUGCCAUGGUAGGCUUAUUCGGGGCCGAUUGAGGCACGGUCGUCGGCGCCAUUCUGCCUCCCCCGUUCGCAACAGGCCUGAGUGACCCGCAUUUCCCACGCAUCCGCCAACAGACGCAGGCGCGACUUUAGAGUGUCGAAUUGACACCCCGCGCACGCCUAUGCUCUAUUGAUCUCCGUACCUCUCCUGUCCCCUUAAGGACCACAUCACCACUUUACGCAUCUAUAGUCCUCCUUGUGGACACCGCAUUCGCGGACAGACCGGUACUGGACUGCGACACCGUGCUUUCGCACCCCUCGUUUGUCCUAAUCUAUGGGACCAUCAGGUGCGGCAUUUGCUACAGCUGAGCCACAUACCAACAGAAAAUCUGCUGGCACACGGAAUCGAGUGCGCCAUUCAGCUGGCG
rnacentral:rRNA from 1 species